rnacentral:rRNA from 1 species
GUGGGGAAUAUUGGACAGUGGGCGAAAGCCUGAUCCAGCCAUGCCGCGUGUGUGAAGAAGGUCUUCGGAUUGUAAAGCACUUUAAGUUGGGAGGAAGGGCAGUAAGUUAAUACCUUGCUGUUUUGACGUUACCGACAGAAUAAGCACCGGCUAACUUCGUGCCAGCAGCCGCGGUAAUACGAAGGGUGCAAGCGUUAAUCGGAAUUACUGGGCGUAAAGCGCGCGUAGGUGGUUUUGUAAGUUGGAGGUGAAAUCCCCGGGCUCAACCUGGGAACUGCCUCCAAAACUGCAUGACUAGAGUACGGUAGAGGGUAGUGGAAUUUCCUGUGUAGCGGUGAAAUGCGUAGAUAUAGGAAGGAACACCAGUGGCGAAGGCGACUACCUGGACUGAUACUGACACUGAGGUGCGAAAGCGUGGGGAGCAAACAGGAUUAGAAACCCCGGUAGUCC